rnacentral:lncRNA from 1 species
UAACCUUCCUGGUAAACCAGACGUGAGUGAAUUUUAUUCUAAAUUAAAAGGUAAUUUUUAGAUUUCUUUGAUACUUCCUAGAUUAAUUCUUCUCUCAAUACAUUAUCCAUUGUUCUUUAUACAAUUAUUACCUAAAUAUAUUACAUUUUCAAACGUUUAGAAACUUUAACUUUCGUUUUUGGCUCGAACAUAACAUACACAUCUUUAUGAUUAUUUAUAUUAUGUCCCAGAUCCGAGACAAGUUGUUUAUAAUGUUUUCGUUUUAAACAAGGAUAUAUCAAAAAGAAUAUGUACGGUACUAUAAUACACUACAAAAGUCAAAAAGUCUGAAAAGACCAGUUUUUGUCUUGAUUCGCAUGAACUUUUACUCGACAUUCUCCAAAAGUAUGACUUGUGUCUUAAUUUUUCUUGACAAUUUCUCAUUUAUAUCAAAUUUGUAUGAAAUUUACUAGACAUAUUCUCGACAUUCUGAAUAUGGUCUUAAAAUUUCUUGACAAUUCUUGAUAUUUGAAUACUGUCUCGAAAUUUCUCGACAUAUUCUCGACAUUCUUAUUUUUUCUCAGUAUGGCUUGACAUAUUUUGAACAUUUAGAAUUGUGUCUUACAUUUACUUGACAGUUCUGAGUUUUACAAACCAUGACCAAUAUUCAUAAUAUAACUUUAAUCUUUAUUUCUCUUUACAUAAUUAUAUAUAAUUUACUGUUGUUUCAAGGUACACUUUUUACAACAAGUAUAAAAGUUGGGCAUGUAAAAUAAUUGAAAAUUUGGGUAUCUAAAUAUUUUGACAAAUGUAAAUAUGGCUAUGAAAUAUAAUGUAUAAAAUAAUUUAAAUAUAGGUGUGUAAUGAUUAAAACCAAUCAUACUGUAGACAUAAUUCAUUCUACAUUCAUAACAUUCAAUAUUGUAAAUAAUUAUUGUACAAAAUGUGGUUUAUAUAAAUAGCAAAUUAUGAUGAUAUACAAAUCAUGCAUUUAACAGAAUAAAAAUUUGUGUAAUGUCAUCUGUUGGAAUAUAUUUUAAGUAUUUAUUACACAUGGACAGGAUGUUCCCCAUAAAAUUAAGGUAUUCCACACCCUCAGAAUACACGCAACUGUCAAAUAAAAAUUACUGAUUUACCUGAAAGCAACUUAUCAGUUGACCAUUCCAAAGAUUAAAAAAUGUAUCUCAAAGAGACAUGCAUAAAAUAGAUCUGAAUAUUUUUUUUCUUUUCAUGAUAGAGUUAUCACAAAAACAAUUCGUACAAUGUAACGGUUCCACGGAACCCAGUGUCUCGCCUACUAUUGCUGUUAAUUGCAAACUCAACAAAAAUGAGGAAAAACAUCAAUAAAAAUUUCCCUCUCGAUACUGUCUUUUGAUUGAAAGAAGCUUCCAAGUUUGAUAAAAAAUAUCAAGGAUAGUUUAUGGAUCUAAUAAAUGUUUUAUAAACUUUAACUGCAGACUGUAUGUAAUGUUAACUGAAAGAAAAACUAAGUCCAUUUAUAUAGCAACUUUACUUGACCAUAUAGAAAAAUAGGUAUUUAGUCGGAUCUUAACACGUACUUGUGAUUUGGUUAAAAACCGGUUUUGUUCAAAAUAUACGAAGAAAUGUCGAAAUGUUCAGGACUUAAUUACAUCCGUAUUUCGGUAGGAUGGUGCAAGCAUACGAUUUUAAUUGCGUCUUAUACUUUGAGAAGCGAAUAAUCUUCAACUACUUUAUUCAAAUAUUGUGUAAAAACGUUAAUUUUGAGCUAUGAAAGUCAAGUUGCUCGAGUAUUUUUCUGAGGAAGUUUAAAAAAAUUGCAAAGAAAUAUUUUUACAUUGGGUUAGCUUUCAUUAGUCUUAACUAUAUUGUUACGGCCAGAAAUCGCCUUUAAAUUGUAGCCAACAAAAGACACAAAUCAAUAGUAAAAUUUAACAAUAUUUAUUAUAAAAAAGUUUACAAGAAAUAUCACACAAAUAUUACUGUCAACUUAACUGUCAAAAUAUGAGUCCAAUCUUUUAUCUUUAUCUGUAUCCGGAUAUCUUUCGGAAUCCAAUCUGAAUAUUACGGUCACAAUCCAGUAUGAUGUUGUUUGUAGACUAAAAGUGUCAAUCCAAAGGCUAUGCAUAUUAAUGUCUAUCGAUGUCUAAGUCCAAAUCCAAGAGUAAGUCCAAGAGGAAGUCCAAGAGUGAGUGUUUAAUUUUAGUGUCGGUAUAUAUAUAAUUGUCAAGGAAAAUUCUGGAACAAUCUAUACUGGAACAUCCUAGAAAGUUACAAUGGAAGUUUCUAGUAAAAUGUAGAAGUUUAUAUAACGCAUCAUUUAUUAGGAUCAUUCUGGAAAGUUCCAAUCAUUCUGUAAUUGUUCCAGUGAUUUCUAAACUGCACAGUUCUAAGAUUAUUCUGUAAACAACCAUCAGGACACACAACACAAAUUAGGCCAACAUAAAUAAAUACAAUAAUUACAAUAUCAUAACAAUAUAUAGAUUAACAACUUUUGGUUAUAUUUAUAAUUUAGAAUCAUCAUUGAAGGUGGGGGACAAUUUCGCAGAUAAUUAAUUAUAUUGAUGUGCCAUUUGUAUGCAAGAGUGACAUUUCGUUGUAUUAUGUGCCAAUUCGAAAAAGUUAUGCGAGUAUUCUCUCCCCUUAACAGGUUCAUUAUUUUAUAAUUAAGUUUAGGUUUCUGAUAUAAUUUUGAAUAAUUACAAAAUGUAUCAAUUCAGUAUAUUUCAGUUUUUGUUAUUGGUGUAUCAAAAACACUGAUGUACGAAUAUAAUUUCAUAAAUUUGAAACGUUUAAAAUGAUAACAUACCAAUAUAAAGAACCGUUCAUCAUUUUUGAAAAAGACUAUGAACGAAAAUCGAUUUAUUUAUCUUCCCUUGGUGACAGAUUGAUUGGGAAAUGAACCAGCGUAAUAUAAUGGUAAUCACAGAGAGGGACCAGCAAGCAAUUUUUAAUUGUAGCUUAUUCAACGUUAAAACAAUUUUCCAAUAUAAACGAAUGUUACUUUAUACAAAUAUAAGGACUUUGUUAGCUAAAUCUACAAAUGAUAUUAGAUAUUAUGAUUUUUUAUUGCAAUAGAUUAAUAUGCUAAUUUAUAAGUAAAAUACGGAAAAAGUGAAUUUUUUUUUCACAAAAAAUAAUUCUGAAUAAUAUCUUAUGAUCAGAAACAAGCUUUUGUCUAAGUUUGGUAAAAAAUCCAGGAUAGUUUAAGAACAUUAUAAAAAUUUUAAAAACUUAAACCACAGAGUGAAUGUUUUGUUUCUGGCAAAAAAACUAAGUCCAUUUAUAAGUAAAAUACGGAAAAGUGGAAAUUUAUUUUUACAAAAUUUUCUUCUUGAUACUAUCUUAUGAUCAUAAACAAGCUUCUGUCCAAGUUUGGUACAAAUAAAGGAUAGUUUAUGAAAGUUAUUAAAAUUUUAAAAACUUUAACCAUAGAGUGAAUGUAAUGUUUCCUCGCAGAAAAACUAAGUCCAUUUAUAAGUAAACUACCGAAAAAAUGGAAUUUUAUUUUUACAAAAUUUACUUCUGGAUACUUUCUUAUGAUCAUAAACAAGCUUCUGUCCAAGUUUGGUACAAAUAAAGGAUAGUUUAUGAAAGUUAUUAAAAUUUUAAAAAACUUUAACCAUAGAGUGAAUGUAAUGUUUCCUCGCAGAAAAAACUAAGUCCAUUUAUAAGUAAACUACCGAAAAAAUGGAAUUUUAUUUUUACAAAAUUUACUUCUGGAUACUUUCUUAUGAUCAUAAACAAGCUUCUGUUCAAGUUUGGUAGAAAUUCAGUAUAGUUUAAGAAAGUUAUUAAAAUUUCAAAAACUUUAACCACAGAGUGAAUAUUUGUGGACGCCGCCGACGACGACGGAAUGUAGUCUCGCUUAGUCUCGCUUUUUCGACUGAAGUCGAAGGCUCGACAAAAAUAUAUAGAAUUCAACACUCAAAUUUGAAUAAAAAAUGUUUUUGUGUUGUUCUAAAAAAUGAAAAAGGUCUUUGAAUCAAGAUGCGAACAAAUUCUUUGAACUACAACCCCCCCCCCUUCUUUUUUUUUAGCCACACAAACCCAAAAGAUGGAUUGUGGGGUCCAAAAGAGACACAUGGUCACAUUUUAAAACUGCCUUCAAGACACCUUUUUUAGUAAAGCUAAUGUAACUGCCAUUUUUGCGAAUGGCAAAAAUCUAAAUGAUGUUUGUGAGUAACUUCGACUUAUAUUCCAAGUGAAAACAAUUAAUCAACCGUUUAAUAAAAAUAAAUCAAAUGUAAACUAUAUUAAAAAAAUUUCAGGGUAUUCCAACUUAGGUGCAACUCAGUUGAUACAGGAAGUGUCGAGAAAUUUUAAGACAAUGUUCAUACUGUCAAGACACUUGUCAAGAAAAAUCAAGAAGCUUAUUAGACGCAUUAAUACUAUGUCAAUAAUUUUUCAAAAUUAUUCAGACAAAUUAAGAAUGUCGAGUAAAAAUGCAUGCAAAUUCAGACAAAAACUGGUCUUUUAAGACUUUUUGACUUUUGUAGUGAUACCAAUACUUGGAUUAUGAAUAUAAUCAUACUAGCCAUAUGACCAUGAAAAGUCACUUAAAUCUUGUGCACCUUGUAUGUCGUUAUUCAAAGGGCCAAUGGUGAAAACACCAGAAAAUAACCACUAAAAUGUAAGCAAGAAGUUCAAAUCACGUAGGAAUAAUCAGCCAGCAUAUCCUUUCUUUUGAAACAAAAUUGAAUUCUAAAUGGUUUUAACAUAAAUACUUGCGGUUACAAGAGCGCAAUUAUUGGCCAUGCUUUUUCCAUCGGAUACCACUGGUGUUCUGUAUUUUUCCCCCUAAAAAAACUACACAAACAAGGGAAGAACGGGUAGCAGUUCCUGUUACUAGAAAUUUUCAGUGUUGCAUUACAACCAAAAAAAUAUAUAUUGUCAUGCGGCAAAAGUUGACUUAAAAUGCAGUUGAAACAGAACGACUAUUUUUUUCUCUUAAUGAAAAAGGCAUAUUUUUAAUGGCUCCGAAGUGCAGAAAUGGAAUAUUGUCUAUGCUUUGUAAAAUAAUAUGAAUAUGAUUUUCUGCAUUUUUUAAACCUAAUUGGAUAAACUUUCGAUUAAAUGUAAUUCCAAUCCUGUAUCAUCCAAUCAGAAGCCGUAUAGGAUUCUAAUAUGAGUACUAUCUUGGGGUAAAAAAAAACUUGCCGGUAAAAUGUAAGCAAACAAUUGCGCUCUUGUAACCUUGAAAUAGCCUCAAAAUAAUGUCGAAAACCGUACCUCUCUAUUUUUAUUGUGUAUAAAUAUAACAAGUACCUACUAAUCUUUAAAGGUUUGAAUUUAAUAUUCUUCUCCUCGUCGAGAGAAUAAACAAACGAAACUCAAUUUGAUUCAUGCAUAAAAUGUUUUAUUUAUUCAUCUCUUCGUCUACUUUACCAAGAUAAUUUUUGAAUAUCUUAGGCAGAAUAAAAAAAGGAUGUGUGUGUUUAAAAUAACGGUACCCACCCUAUUUUUUAGUAAAAAAAAUUAAUUAGUUUAAAUUUUUUUUUUUUGGCAUUCAAUAAGCACUUUAAAGUCAGAAUGCCCCUUCCAUACACUGAAGGUAAUAAAAAGGUAAUAACACGGAGCUACAAUAAGGCAUUUGCUUUAAAAACUAAUUUUCAUAUAUACAUUAUAGUAUGUACAAGUGCAUGUAUAUACAUUUUCAUUUAAUUACAUUGUUCAAUAUAGAGACAUAUCCAUUCUCUUUCACUAACUAUAUUCAACUCUCUCGAAUCGCAACAUUUAGCAACUUUUAUCAUCGCGAAGGCCUUCACUAUUUUCAUGACUUUCUCACACAUUAAAAUCGUCAUUCAUCUCUAGAUCACACAAGUAUAGGAACAUAAUAUAAACAAACAAACAGAAACAUACAUUAUACGGCUUCUCAUUAAAAUGAUUACAGUUAAAACACAAACAGUGCAUCAUAAAUUAAAUUUAACGGUCAAUCAGACAGUCAGCUUAAGUUGUAAAAUCGGAGUUCACGAAAACAAUAAAUCUACAAAUACUGAACACUUUUGACCAAGCGUCGUAUUUUAAACCCUAAGUUAAUUAACCUCACAUAUAAAGUAAAAUCGAACUGAACUUCUAUAUCUAUUUUCAAAUUUUCCACUUUCUCUUAUGAAAGGUUAAAAUGUUCGAUUUUAUGAAUUUAAAUAUUUUGACAUUCGACCGGACAUAACAUAAGCUUCACAAAUAAAAUUAAUUUUAACUUGGACAAUUAAAUAACUAUGGAAAUGAGAUCAGUGAUAAUUAUUUCUAAUUUAAGAGUAUAUACUUUUGAAGAUGAGGCCACCGAUUGAACAACUAUUGUUAUGACUAUUCAUUCAUCAUUGAUUCUAAUUUUGUAGUGUGUUUAAUGGCGGUAUCAUCCCAAAGUUGUGGUGUCUGUGACCUCCGCCACCUCACCAAACCAUCAAUAGUCUGGUGUACAGAAUGUGACGAGGGAUUAUGUACAGAAUGCAACGAACAUCAUGGUAUGUCUAAGGCAUCGCGAAGUCAUAGUGUAAUACCUAUUGCCGAAUACCAGAAACUACCAGCUAAUGUACUGAAAAGUACUCAGUAUUGUUCCAGUCACGAUAAAAAAUAUCAAUUUUAUUGCCAGAAGCAUGAAUGUCCCUGCUGUAGUAAAUGUAUGAUGAAAAGUCACAAAGAAUGUCAGGGAUUGGUAGAAUUAGAUGACGUCAUUCAUAGCGUCAAAACCUCCAAUGCCCUGUGUGAGAUAGAGGAAACAUUAGUUGAAGUAGCAGAAAAUCUACAGAAAAUUCGCCAGCAUCAACAAGACAAUCUGUUGACUUUUAAAGAAAAAAGAAAAGAAAUCGAAAAAGAAAUUAAGAAAACUAGAAUGAAGAUCAACAAUCACCUCGACAAACUACAAGAAGAUUUAAUGAAACAACUCAACGAGCUCGAAGAAAAAGAAAACUCUAAAAUUUGUCAGUUAAUGUCCUCGCUAGAAAAGAAAGAAAAAGAAAUAGGAGAAUGCCAAAAAAACCUUUUCAACAUCAAGAAACACGCAACAGAUCUUCAAAUGUUUCUCUCAAUUAAGCAAAUAGAAGAGGACGUUUAUAGCAAAGAAAUACAAUUGCAGGCUCUUGUAGAAGGCAAGGAACAGCAUACUCUUUCAUAUCAGAUCAACACCUCUAUCCAGAAUAUCAUAUCCGAUAUCAGAAGUUUUGGGGAAGUGCGUAUUGAAUAUAAUCCAUGCGACAUAGUUCUAAUCAGGAAGAAGGCCAGACAAGCCCAAUUGAUGAUUCCAAUCGUUCUAACAACAUCUAUAGAUAAUAUAAAGCUAACGACACACAAGUCCAUCGACACUCAAGGACAUAAUAUUUACGGAUGUUGCAUACUUCCAGAUGAUAGAUUUGUAUUUACUUACUACUUGGCUAAACAAUUAAAAGUUUUCAGUGAUAAAGGGUCAAAAGACUUUGAGGUGAAUAUGCUGUGUAGACCGUUUGAUAUAGUAUACAUCAUUGAAGACAAUACAUUGGCUGUAUCAACUUAUUAUCCAGGGACCAUUACAAUAAUAAACCUGGAGACAAAACAAAUGAUGAAAUCAAUUGCAAUGGAUUCGAAUAUUGAUGGCAUAGCACUGAAAGGUAAUCAAUUGAUUUAUUCCGGGAGAGGCAAAGGAAUACGAAUGAUUAAUCUAAACGACGAGUCAAUAAGUGGCAUAGUCCGAGACGCAAUGCCCAGUGUUUGCUACACUGCAACCUUUAAGGACAAUAUAUAUCAUACAAACCGCUUAGUAAACACUGUUACCUGUUAUAAUUUACAAGGUAAAAUACAAUGGACAUUUCGUAACAAA